rnacentral:rRNA from 1 species
CGAGACAAGCCCAGUGGCGGACGGGUGCGUAACGCGUGAACAAUCUGUCCCUAUAAGGGGGAUAACAACUGGAAACAGUUGCUAAUACCGCAUAAGACCACGGUACCACAUGGUACUGGGGUAAAAGGUCGCAAGGCCGAAUAGGGGUGAGUUCGCGUCUGAUUAGCUAGUUGGUGAGGUAAAGGCCCACCAAGGCGACGAUCAGUAGCCGAUCUGAGAGGAUGACCGGCCACACUGGAACUGAGAAACGGUCCAGACUCCUACGGGAGGCAGCAGUGGGGAAUAUUGGGCAAUGGGCGAAAGCCUGACCCAGCAACGCCGCGUGAGGGAAGAAGGCCUUCGGGUCGUAAACCUCUGUCGCAGGGGACGAUAAUGACGGUACCCUGUGAGGAAGCCCCGGCUAACUACGUGCCAGCAGCCGCGGUAAUACGUAGGGGGCAAGCGUUGUCCGGAAUGACUGGGCGUAAAGGGCGCGUAGGCGGCGCAGCAAGUUUGGAGUGAAAGUCCUGCUUUCAAGGUGGGAAUUGCUUUGAAAACUGCUGUGCUUGAGUGUGGGAGAGGGAUAGCGGA